GACGAACCGUGCAAACGUUAUUCGGAAUCACUGGGCAUAAAGGGCGCGUAGGCGGCUCCAAAAGUCAGGGGUGAAAUCCGGCAGCUUAACUGUCGCAGUGCCUUUGAUACUGUGGAGCUAGAGGGAGGUAGGGGUCUGUGGAACUUCCGGUGGAGCGGUGAAAUGCGUUGAUAUCGGAAGGAACGCCGGUGGCGAAAGCGACGGACUGGAUCUCAUCUGACGCUGAGGCGCGAAAGCCAAGGGGAGCAAACGGG
rnacentral:rRNA from 1 species